CUUGCUCACUCAUUGGCAUUUAUUUAUCACAGAUGAGUAUUUACAAAAAUCUUCACAGCUUCACACUGCAAAAUGUAAAAUCCCCAUAAAAGAGAGAGGGACCCACGCCAGAGAGGGGCCAUCCAAAGAAAAGGUGUCGCAUUGACUUCUCAUCAAGUGACAAUGGAGAAGAUUAUGAUGCAGACUCAAGUGGUUGAUUGACUGUUAUUUUGCAUGCAACACCGGGGAGCAGUUCUGAUGAUAGCCGCACUGCAUUAAUACACUGAGGAAGAGGAAAGGCCCACAAAGAUCCUGGAUGCUUAUCCAUGUUUCCAGGAUCUUCAUAAUACGAUGGGAGAGCUGUGCCGGAUCUUGGAUUAGGGCAACUCCAAAUUCAUAGAUCAAUUAGAGAAAAGAUGGGAAGACUUCGGCACCAAUGUGCAGUUUUACGCUGUUUGGAAGAAAGUGAUGAAACCACCCAUGACUCUGGAUGGAGUGGAAUACGCCACAGCGUUGUUCCGGGCACUUCCCACACUCUUUCCUUCACCAGCUGCACCACCAAAGAAACUGGGAUAUGCCAUUGAGGCAUCGCUUCAUGUAUUUCAGCCAACAGAAGAUCCCACAAUCUACCUUCAGAAAAGACCUCACUCCAGCCCUAAUUUGCUCUUUGAUGGUUCUAACUGUUUUAUUGCUAUUGGAACCACUCCCAUUACCACA